ensembl:lncRNA
GGGAAGCCGCUGCAAUAAGAAGCCCAGGUACUGCAAUGAAGAGUAGCCCCUGCUUUCUAGCAGCUAGAGAAGCCUGCUCACAGCAAAGAGCCUGAGCAACAACCCCCCACAGCUGGCCUUUAAAAAAGACUAGUGUUCUGGACAUUUCACCUGUAGAAUAUGAUUACUCAUACUAAUGCCACUCAGUGACUCCACUGCCUGCUGCUUUCCAUAUCGCUGAGAGAGGCUGGGUAUUUACUGUUAGCCUGACUUCCCUCCCUCAGCCCUCCACCUACCUCCUGCAAACUAGCUCCCCCAAAUCAAAUCUCUGUGUCUGCUUAAAUUGAAUCUGUUAAUUCUUGGUAAAAAUAAAAGAAGUGACUUUACAGUGUUGUAGGAUGGAAAGAUGGCUAUUUUUAGUCAUUGACAUGAAAGUUGUCAGUGGAAAGCUAGACGGUUUCCAGUAAGGUCCAAGAUUCUGUCCUUCUCCUAGGCAACCUCAGAGCAAUGUCUAAACACUGGGACCCAGAACUUUAAAGAACACAGCUCAACUCAAGCCCUCUGUUGGAAACGAGAACUCUGUAGUCUGUACUGUACAUUUGUUGUUGUUGUUUUUGGUUUUGCUCCUUUAUUUUUUGAGAGCAUUUCAUUAGGGAUGACAAGCAUUUCACUAGGGAUGGUGAUUGUGUUUUCUAUUUGCUAUGCAAGCUUCUAUUGAAAUCCAAGCAAAAUAGUGCUUUUAUCUUGGAGCACACAGAGAGAAACAGCUGAAAAACGCAAAGUCAUCAAAAAGCACAACACAGCUCCUGGAAGAGUUUAGCAAUAGAUAGCAGUGACUACAAAGGUAUCCACCAUUAUCACGCGCCCAUGGUCCCCCUUCAGCACUGCAGGCAUCACGGAAGAAAACUAUUACUUUAGUACCCAGCAGGAGGAAAGAAGAAUUUCUCCUUGCCGGGCCAUGGUGCUGCCAAUGAGACAUUCACACUCAACCAAUAGAAAGCCACUACCCUUCAAAUUCCAGUUUCCACCAACGGAUUCUUCUUUUAUAGCAGCUCCUUUAAACUCCCCCUUCUCUAUAAAAGAACGAUCCUCUUCUUUGUUCUCUGGCCUCGCCUGUGGUUUUCCAUAGAUUGUGUGUCC